AAACGGGAACUCUCUGGAUGCAUUUUCCGGCUACUUAUUUCUCCGGGUGCCACUCCUCAUCUUUUCCCGAAGAGG
rnacentral:snoRNA from 14 species